GUGUCAGCAGCCGCGGUAAUACCGGCAGCCCGAGUGAUGGCCGAUCUUAUUGGGCCUAAAGCGUCCGUAGCUGGCCGCACAAGUCCAUCGGAAAAUCCACCCGCCCAACGGGUGGGCGUCCAGCGGAAACUGUUCGGCUUGGGACCGGAAGAUCUGAGGGGUACGUCCGGGGUAGGAGUGAAAUCCUGUAAUCCUGGACGGACCACCGGUGGCGAAAGCGCCUCAGGAGGACGGAUCCGACAGUGAGGAACGAAAGCUAGGGUCUCGAACCGGAUUAGAUACCCCAGUAGUCC
rnacentral:rRNA from 1 species